AGUGAACGCUGGCGGUAGGCCUAACACAUGCAAGUCGAACGGCAGCACAGUAAGAGCUUGCUCUUACGGGUGGCGAGUGGCGGACGGGUGAGGAAUACAUCGGAAUCUACUUUUUCGUGGGGGAUAACGUAGGGAAACUUACGCUAAUACCGCAUACGACCUACGGGUGAAAGCAGGGGAUCUUCGGACCUUGUGCGAUUGAAUGAGCCGAUGUCGGAUUAGCUAGUUGGCGGGGUAAAGGCCCACCAAGGCGACGAUCCGUAGCUGGUCUGAGAGGAUGGUCAGCCACACUGGAACUGAGACACGGACCAGACUCCUACGGGAGGCAGCAGUGUGGAAUAGUGGACAAUGGGCGCGAGCCUGAUCCAGCCAUACCGCGUGUGUGAAAAAGGCCUUCGGGUUGUAAAGCCCUUUUGUUGGGAAAGAAAAGCAGCAGGUUGAUACCCCGCUGUUCUGACGGUACCCAAAGAAUAAGCACCGGCUAACUUCGUG
rnacentral:rRNA from 1 species